GAGGGCAGAGCUCAGUGGUAGAGCACAUGCUUAGCACGCACGAGGUCCUGGGUUCAAUCCUUGGUACCUCCA
rnacentral:tRNA from 1 species